UGCCAGCAGCCGCGGUAAGACGAAGGUGGCAAACGUUGCUCGGAAUCACUGGGCAUAAAGCGCGCGUAGGUGGCGUGGUAAGCGAAGAAUGCAAUCCCAUGGCUCACCCAUGGAACUGUUCUUCGAACUACUAUGCUUGAGGGCGGGAGGGGAGAGUGGAAUUCCUGGUGUAGCGGUGAAAUGCGUAGAUAUCAGGAGGAACACCGGUGGCGAAAGCGACUCUCUGGCCCGUUCCUGACACUGAGGCGCGAAAGCUAGGGGAGCAAACAGGAUUAGAUA
rnacentral:rRNA from 1 species